AUAGUGGUAACAGGUAACAGGGUAUUAGAGCAUGAUAUCGGAGAGGGAGUCUGAGAAAUAGCUACCACAUCUAAGGAAGGCAGCAGACACGCAAAUUACCCAAUCCUGACACGAGAAGGUAGUGACAAUAAACAACAAUACAGAGUUCUUUUGGAUCUUGUAAUUGGAAUGAGUAUAAUUUAAAUCUCUUAACGAAGAACAAUUGAAGAGUAAGUCUGAUGCUAGCAGUAGCGAUAAUUCUAACUCCAAUAGCGUAUAUUAAAGUUGUUACAGUUAAAAAGCUCAUAGUUGAAUUUCGGGAUCAAUGUUUCAGUUAUGCUAUUGGUAUAUACUGAUAUUAUUAGUUUUUCACCUUCUAAAGAACUGUAAUGCCAUUAAUUUAGUGUCACAAGGAAUUAGGACUGUUACCUUGAAAAAAAUAGAGUGUUUAAAGCAGGCUCAUGCUUGAAUACAUUAGCAUGGAAUAAUGAAAUAGGACAUCUGAUUCUAUUUUGUUAGUUUCUAGGAUCGAUGUAAUGAUUAAUAGAGAUAGUUGAAGGCAUUAGUAUUCAAUUGUCAGAGGUGAAAUUCUUGGAUUUAUUGAAGACUAACUACUGCGAAAGUAUUUGCCAAGAAUGUUUUCAUUAAUCAAUAAUGAAAGUUAGGGGAUCGAAGACUAUCAGAUACCGUUGUAGUCUUAACCAUAAACUAUGCUGA
rnacentral:rRNA from 1 species